UGAGGUGAUCACCGACUGGUAGACAGUUCUGUGUUGAGGUGAUCACCGACUGGUAGACAGUUCUGUGUUGAGGUGAUCACCGACUGGUAGACAGUUCUGUGUUGAGGUGAUCACCGACUGGUAGACAGUUCUGUGUUGAGGUGAUCACCGACUGGUAGACAGUUCUGUGUUGAGGUGAUCACCGACUGGUAGACAGUUCUGUGUUGAGGUGAUCACCGACUGGUAGACAGUUCUGUGUUGAGGUGAUCACCGACUGGUAGACAGUUCUGUGUUGAGGUGAUCACCGACUGGUAGACAGUUCUGUGUUGAGGUGAUCACCGACUGGUAGACAGUUCUGUGUUGAGGUGAUCACCGACUGGUAGACAGUUCUGUGUUGAGGUGAUCACCGACUGGUAGACAGUUCUGUGUUGAGGUGAUCACCGACUGGUAGACAGUUCUGUGUUGAGGUGAUCACCGACUGGUAGACAGUUCUGUGUUGAGGUGAUCACAGAG